UUUCUUCCCAUCACUUCUCCUUCUUUCUCAGCCGAUCAAAUUCAUUCAGAAGAAUCACAAUUCCCCCAUUAACGAAUUUCUUAGUAAACAUCAACUUCUUCUCCCUCACCUCCUUCGUUAAAUAUUUCCGAGAAAACCCUAGCACUGAAAUUAGAGCUUGGUUUCAAAAAAUAAAUCAGAUGCUUUCACUCGAUCGAUUUUCCAAUGAAGAUGGUGGUUCAGUGACCGAUUUUGAGACUCAAGUUACCUCAAGAGAAAAAUACCCUAAUCUUCAGAAAAGGUUUCACAUUACUCUUUUGCAAAAUUAUAAAAAUGGUGCAUAUGGAUGUGAUAGAAGAAACUAAUGAAGAACAACUUCUCUUGAUAUCCAAGUUCAUCAACACACUGGGAACUGUAAGUUGGACCAUAAAAGACAUCUUCAGUAAGAAAUGAGAGUACGGAGCAUUAAAUUUGGGAGAGAAGAACCUAAAUGGAAACACAUGUAGCUUCAACAAGUGCAUCAAAAAUAUACUUGAAAUGGUGGAUUAUACAUUAAACCAUCGUGUUACCAUUUGAUGAAAUAGCUAUGGAGUGUUAUCUGUGAAUCAUACUAUUCUGCUAAUCUAUGACAUCUGUGUCAUAACUUAACGGCAGAUUCGAAGCCUAUGAUUGUUCACUUAGCUAUCAUUGGAAGCCACAUGUCGUUGUUCCUUCCACUGUUAAGUUUUAAAGCUCGGCAACUCAGUAAAUAAUGAACCAUGAAGGUACGCAAUCAACAACAUACUCUUUCUGUAGUUGUAGGAAAUCCUACAACACACCCCAUUAACAAUUCCUAAAUCUAAAUCUAUUGCACAAUCAAACUAAAGAUUAAAGUGUUAAAAUUGGACACAAGAUUUACGUGGUUCGAUCAAUGUGAUCUACAUCCACGGGGUUAAGUUUCACUAUGAUUGAAGAAAUUACAUAUGGAUUACAAUUGAGACUCCAUUAAUGAGUAUUUGGAGCUCUAGGUUGAUGAAGGAAGAAAAAUGAGAUAAUACUAAUAAUAAUUCUGUCAUCUUUCUCUACACAUGUGUUCCUUAUAAAGUGUAUAUCUUUCCUAAAGUGUGUCUCUUUCCUAAAAUGUAUCCUUCCUUUCUCUCUCCUGUCUUUCUCUUUAUAUAGAUAUUUACAUAGUGGAUGACAGCUCAUGUUUCCUUUAUUUAUGGAAUCGACAUGCGACAC